AUUUAUAUAGUUUACGAAAAACAUUACACUUUCACUGUAAAGAUAAAGAAAACUUUUAUAAAUA
rnacentral:tRNA from 2 species